rnacentral:lncRNA from 1 species
CCAUAUGAUAUCGGCUGCAACAAAACAUAAACAUCACAACUAAAUUCGAUUACAACUCAAAAAAUAAUAUUCUACAUCUGCACAAAAAACACAAAGUGUCAACGAAAAGAAUAACUUACACCAGAUUUACGAUACCUUAAAAAGCGUCUCCUAGGAUUUUUAAGAGUCCACGAUGUGAGAAGAAGCGCAACAUUUUCACAUUCACAAUUCCUUCCGAACAUCCGGUUAGAAGAGCUCGAUAUUUGCAACAUUUUAUAAAAGAGCAACAAAAAAAAAAGUAAAAUAAAAGAGAAAAGUUGUUCGAAAUCGAAGAAGAGAACUAACAACUUCCAGAAUUUGGUAUUAAUUACUAUCUUAAUUGUCACACCUCCUUUUUUAUCGGGAAAGAAAAGAAAAGGAGUUUUUUCAAUUUAAGUAACAUUACUUCAAAAGGGAUUAUUGAAACUACUAUAUACUGAAAGCUUAUUACUAGGGGUGUACAAAGAAAACCGCCAAACCGUAUCAACCCGAUAAUCCGAGUCAAACCGGGAAAAAAAACCCGACCAUGGUUUGGUUUGAUUUGGUUUAGUAUUGAAAAAAAAAACCGACCAUAAUUGGUUUGGUUUGGUUUUAACUAAAGAAAGUCAAACCGAAACCAACCAACCCGACAUUACAUAUGUAGAAAUUUUAGAUAUAUUCAAUAUAUAAUAUACUUAUUGUGAUGUAAUUUAUAAAUAUUUCUUUAAAAAUCAUAACUUUAUCUUUUAAUGUAUUAUUUCAAGGUUGGACUUAGAACCAAUAAGUUUUAUAGCCAUUAACAUAAGUAAAUUAAAUAAUGCCAAUAAAAUCCAAAUUAAAACCAAAGUCAAAUCAAUAUUAAUGCUAACAAAAGACAUUCAAUUCAAUACUAUGAACAGGAAUGUAUUGAAUAUCUAUUUUUGUUUUGCCAUAAUUUAGAUAAAAGUCAAAUAAUGCUAACAAAAGACAUUCAAUUUAAUAUUAUGAACGGGAAUGUAUUGAAUAUCUAUUUUUGUUUUGCCAUAAUUUAGAUAAAAAUGCACAACCUAUUUUUAUUUUUUCUUUAGCAUUUAGUCAUGUAAUUCCAAAUAUANNNNNNNNNNNNNNNNNNNNNNNNNNNNNNNNNNNNNNNUAAUAUUCCCUUAUUAGUCUACUUAUUUUAGCAUGACUUAGUACUUUUAGAUUAUGUUUAUUUUUAUUAUGGCUUUUUAAUUAGCAAUAUUAAUAUUACAUAAUUUUAUUGUCUUUGUUAUUGAAUAUUUUUGGAUGAUGCCAUGACACAUCUCAUAUUUUGAAUUAUUUUCUUGGAAAAUACUUUCUAUAGUUGUAUCUUACUAGGAUUAAAGAAAUAUUUUGAGCAUAAUUUAUAUAUUUUGUUGAAUGAAGAUUUUAUUGGGAAAAAAUUAGAAAAAACUCGAAUAACCAGAAUAACCCGAAAACCCGAGAAAAUCCGUAAAAUCAUAGAGCGAAAAACCCGAGUUUUAUUGGUUUGGUUUGGUAUUUAGAUUUAAUAACCCGAUACAAUUGAUUUGAUUUGGUAAUAGUAAAAUCCGAACCAACCCGGCCUAUGUACACCCCUACUUAUUACUGGUCAAGUUUUUUUUUUUUAAUUAAAUCUUUUGUAUUAUUCACCAAAGGUAUCUCUUUACAAAACUAUAGUGCAGCUAUACACAGCUGACUAUCAUCUAAAAGAACUAACUGACAUCUACAUUUACUAUACCUAUAGUUCUAAUUAUUGAAGAGAAUGCAGAAGGUGUAGACUGACUUUAGGGGGACUCCUAACAUGACACAUAUAAGCUAUGCUUCUGAGUAACUGUCCACUGGUAUAGGAUGUGUUGUUGAACAAUCUUGAGUUUCUCUCUAACCAAAUAUUAUAAAGCAUUUCAGCAAAUACCAUUUUGAUCAUUUGAGCUCAACCUGAUCUCCCUUUAGAUUUGGUUAUAAUCCACUGUAUGUAUUGCUCCCAAUUCUGGUAAUUGGCUUGUGUUACUCCAAUCCACUGUAAAGUUUGGUGUCCCAGCAAAGCAGUGAAUGAACAUGAGAAGAACAGAUGAUCCAUACUCUCCUUGUCUUGUUGGCAUAAUGUGCAAGUGUUGUCCACAUUGAGUUUCCAUUGUUCCAGUCUAUCCAUGGUAGGCAAGCUAUUCUGUAGUAUCAGCCAGAGGUUAAGGACUACCUUAGGUCUAGCAUAGUUUUGGAUAGUUAGAUUCUUCCACACUACUCUUGGUAACUGCCCAAUCUGUUGCAAGUAAAGCUUCUUGAUAGAGCAAGCUGGUUGUUGCAGUAUCUGUGAGUGUAGCAAUGUAACAGUAGAAGCAAUGAUCUUCCUAACCAUCCAACUGGCUUGGUUAGGAAUAGUUAAGGACUGUAAUUGUUGUUGUUUUAUGUAGACAGCAUGUAUCCAUUUUACCCAUAAAGCAUCUUUCUUAUUGGCCAGAUCCCACCCAAGUUUGUUGAUUGCAGCUUUGUUCCAUGUAUACAGCAUGUAUCCAUUUCACCCAUAGAGCAUCUUUCUUAUUGGCCAGAUCACACCCAAGUUUGUUGAUUGCAGCUUUGUUCCAUAAUAGCAGAUUCAUAACAUUUAAACCCCCAGCAGAUUUAGGCAGGCAGACUUUAUCCCAGGCUAUAUAUGAUUUUUUUGAUAUGUUGGCUGAUCCUGUCCAAACAUAGGAUCUACAUACAGCAUCCAGCAUCUUUAAUAUUUUGGAAGGAAUAAGGAAAAGCUGAGCCCAGUAUGCUUGUAUACCAAAAAUGACAGAUUGUACCAGCUAAACUCUCCCUGCAUAGGAAUGUCCAAACAUAGGAUCUACAUACAUCAUCCAGCAUCUUUUAUAUUUUUGAAGGAAUAAGGAAAAGCUGAGCCUAGUAUGCUUGUAUACCAAAAAUGAUAGAUUGUACCAGCUGAACUCUCCCUGCAUAGGAUAGUUUCCUAGCAGUCCAGGAUGUGAUCCUGGCAGUAACCUUAUCCACCAAUAGUUGCCAUUGUAGUAAUGACAUCUUCUUGGCUGAUAAGGGAACUCCCAAAUACUUGAAGGGUAAUUCUCCAUAUACAUAACCAAGAUGAUUGAUAAUGUGUUGCUGUACAUCAGGAGGAACUCCUCAAAAAUAGAUAGAGCUUUUACUCAGGGUAGCAGUCAUACCAGAAGACUCAGUGAUUGUACAUCAGGAGGAACUCCUCCAAAAUAGACAGAUCUUUUACUCAGGUUGGCAGUCAUACCAGAAGACUCAGUGAACUGGGAGAAGUAUCUGAACAUGGUUGUGACUGCCUUCAAAUCUCCUUUGGCAAAUAACAAUAAGUCAUCUGCAAAAUUAAGAUGGGUGAUAUUUAACCUCUUGCAACCAGAAUGAAAUAAGAAAUCUGGAUCUUUCUUCAGUUCCACAAGAGCCCUGCUAAAUUAUUCCAUCACUAUAGCAAAUAGGAAGGGAGAGACUGGGUCACCUUGUCUCAAACCUUUAGCUGCUUGAAAGGGUUUAGUAGUUUCCCCCAUUAAACAUGAUUGUAUAGCUCACUGUUUGGACACAUUCCAUAAUCCAACUUAUAAACCUGCCUGGAAAGUGUAAGGAUUCCAUCACUUGUUGCAAAAAGAUCCACUUCACAGAAUCAUAAGCCUUCUGUAAGUCUAUUUUGAUCAUGCAUCUAGGGGAUACAUGGGUUCUAGAAUAGUGCUUGAUUAGCUCAUGAGCUAAGAUAACAUUGUCAGCAACCCUCCUUCUUGGAAUGAAACCUGCCUGGGAAUCACAGAUGAUACUAGCCAUGCAUUUCUGUAAUCUGUUGGCCAGUAUCUUAGAUAUAAUUUUAUAUAAAACUGAGCAGCAAGCAAUUGGUCGAAAUUCCUUAACUGACUGUGGGUUAGGGACUUUAGGAAUCAGUGUAAGGGAGGCACAAUUAACUGGUUUAUACAUUCUGCUAGAGUGAAGCACUUGUUAAGUUUUGGACCAUUAUCCAUGUAUGCGCUAUUGAUUGCUGGUAGGGAUACAGCUGAGGAACCCAUCAAGGACUUAUAGAAGUUCCUGAUUUCAUCUCUAAUGUCAUCUGGAUUGGUGAGUUUGAUGCCUCCUGCAGUAACCAGUUCAAUAAUGCUUUUGUACUGAUUCCUUUCUUUUAACACUGCAUGAAAAUACUUGUUGUUUGAGUCUCCCAAUUGUAUCCAUUUGGCUCUGGAUUUCUGUUGGAGAAUACUUUCUUCAAUCAGUGACCACUUCUCCAGCUUCAAUAGCAGAUCCUUCUCUUUAGACUGCAAGUCAUCAGCAUAUUGUAAACUCAUCUGGUGUUGGAUGAUUUUUAAUUCCUCCCUGCUAGAUUCAAUUCUCUGUGUGAUGUUCUUAAAUUCUCUAACAUUUAGAGAUUUUAGAACAGGUUUAAGUGCUUUGAGAUUGUUCCAUAUCAUCUUAAGAGUACCCUGAUCUGGACUCCUCCAAUGUGUCUUUAUGAUGUGAUAGAAUUCCUUGUGAUUAGCCCAUGCAUUAUAAAAUCUAAAGGGAGCCUUCCUGACAGUAAUACCUUCCUUAAUAGUCAACACCAUUGGAUUAUGAUCAGAGAUUAGAGGAUGGUCAUACACUGUCUGUACAUGACUCCAUUUAAUCAUCCAGUCAUAGUUUCCAAAAAUUCUAUCCAAUCUACUACAGACACCUCAUUGCCAGUUUGUUUAUUGGUCCAUGUGAAGAAAUCCCCUAUCCAAGGGAGCUCUGAUAAUUCAGCCAGUUGGAUGCAUUGAGUAAAGUCCUGAGUUUCAGCUUACGUGAUUUGAGGACAUGACUGUCUGUCAUUAACAGAUAACACAGCAUUGAAGUCACCUGCAACUAGCCAAGGAUCAGUAAUACCAGUAGCAAGGUUUUGUAUGUACUGCCACAUUGUUCUUCUUUGAUCCAGACCAUUGGAACCAUAAACCACACUGAGCAGGCAGAUCAGAUCCCCUAUAGGAGUGUGAACACUGCAAUGAAGAAAUUGGCCAUCCUCCUGAAUAUUUGUGACAUGAAUCUUCUGAGGGUCCCAUAGAAUCAAGAUUCUGCCCCUUGGAGAGUCUCUGUAGUUAGCUAGCAUACUCCAACCUGGAGCCACCAGAUUAGAAAUUCUUCCUGCAUUAUUCUCCUUUACUUUUGUUUCUACCAAACUAACAUGACUAAAUUUAUUCUGUCUAAAAUAAUCUUUAGCUUCUUUCUGUUUAUAUCUCUUAUUGAUCCCUCUAAUAUUCCAAACUACCAGCUUCAUUUUGUAAAGCUAGGACCCCCUUUAUCAGGGGGUUGAACUGUUCUAUUGGCUGACACUAGCUUCAAAUCUAUUACUCAAUACCACUGGGGAUAAUGGGGGAAAAUUUGCAAGGUUGAAAACUGGAGAUUGCACCUGUUUACCCUUCUCUACCAAAGUGAAGCCUUCAGUGCCUUCCAAAGGACCAGCAUCCUUAUGAGGUAUUACAUUCUGCCUUGGAACUACCUGUUGGUUGGGGUUCUCCAUAGGUUGUAUAUCUGAUUGAAUUGGCACCUUAACUCUCCACUCCUGGGCAAUUUUAGGCUUAUGUGUAGGUUGGGGGGGUUUAAGAAUGGACAAGCAGUUAUGACCUACUAUGAGGCACUUCUCACAGUAUGUUGGCAGAAUGGACAAGCAGUUAUGACCUACUAUGAGGCACUUCUCACAGUAUGUUGGCUUCCAGUCAUAUGUCACUUCCUGUACAAAUUUCUUUCCAUUAGGAUCAAUAAUCUCAAUCUCAUUUGGCAAAGGCUUAGAUACAUUAACCUCAAUAAGCAUGCGUGCAAAGGAGAUCCUAGUCUGUUUGGUAGUGCAUUCAUCAGCAAAAAUCGGUUUGCCAAGUACACUGGCAAUCCUACUCAAAGAUCUACUACCCCAACACAACAUUGGAAGCCUAGGGAAUUUUACCCACAAAGGAAUAUCAUUAGGGAAAGCAGCAGUGAAGUCAAAAUCAGGGGUCCAUUGCUUCAAGACCAUAGGUCUAUUAGCAAUGGAAUAUGGGCCAGCACAUAAUACCUCUUUAGCAUCCUCUAUGGUUUGAAAUUUAGAAUUGCUUCAAGACCAUAGGUCUGUUAGCAAUGGAAUAUGGUCCAACACAUAAUACCUCUUUAGCAUCCUCCAUGGUUUGAAAUUUAGCUACAUAGUAACCCUCCUCAUGGUAGUACAGAUCUAGCUCUGGAACAUGAGACCAGUGUAGGUUAAUGAAACGUCGCAUAGCAUUGUAGCCAGGACCAGUCCCCAACACAAAAAUAACUAUGGCACAUUUCCAUUUAUGCUCUUCCUCUUCUACUUCCUCUUUCAAUAACUGACCUAGAGGUUUAUUCAUCUCUGGAACAUGAGACCAGUGUAGGUUAAUGAAACGUCGCAUAGCAUUGUAGCCAGGACUAUUCCCCAACACAAAAAUAACUAUGGCACAUUUCCAUUUCUGCUCUUCCUCUUCUACUUCCUCUUUCAAUAACUGACCUACAGGUUUACCAUCAAGCAGAGUAGGUGGUAUGUACUCCAGUGUCAUACUAUUUGAGGCAAACCUGUUCUUCUGGAACAAAUUUGCCCACACUUUAGUGCCUUCGUUUGGUACCUUCACUGUUGCAGGGUCAGAUGGUUGAACUACAGUUUGCAUGUGGUCAUUACCACCAUUAACUUGUAAAAUCUGAGAUUGAGGAAGCUCCGUAACUUCAGAAACCUCCUCUGAUUGUAGCAAUGGAACAGUAGUCAAGUUGGAGUUUAAAAUAAUUUUAAAUAAAAAAUAAAUUAUAAAAAAUAAUGAAUUACCAAUUCAAAUUUUGGAGUAGCUUCAAAUUGGAGUUUUGAAAAUUACCUCUUGUUGUAGCAAAGGAACAGUAGUCAAUGAAACAGUGGUAAGAUUUGAACCUUCUUCACUGGAAACAGUUGCUGGAUGGUUUAUUGUGGAGAUGAUGCGAUCUAUUGUGGUAAUUGGUAUUUUUCGAGGCCUACCCCUACCGCGACCUCUUCCUCUUGCCAUGAUAACCAGCUCGGCGCGCCGAGUCAGGCGGAGAAAAUGAGGCAACGGAACAGUAAGGUAGAGAGAAGGGAGAGCUUCUCUCUCUUCACCGAAUUAAUCAUGCGCCGAGUCAGGCGGAGAAGAUGAGGCAAUGGAACAGUAAAGGUAGAGAGAAGGAAAUCUCUCUCUAUCAUUCCAUUAUUACUGGUCAAGUUACUAGUACUCAUCCUAAAUGCAACUCUUUCUGAAAAUUUAGCCUUAUUUUCAAAUCAAACAAUAAACAUAAUGUCUUUAAUAUUUCUAGUCUAUCUUACUAUUGCAAAUCGUCGUAAUCGAUCUCAAUACUCGUAAUUUUCUGAUUUUCUUCUUUUUGUGGUCUACUUCACAGUUCUUGAAUUUCAAUUCAGUAAAACAUAAAAUAUAGCUUACACACUAUAUAAGACAAGUUCAACUACGAAUAUUUUGAAUCUAACACAAGUAAUUCACAUUAAGGUCACACAGAUUUGGCGCGUCAAAAAUCAGAUCAUGCAUACGUUUACAUAAUUAAUCACGCUUUGUUAAUAUUAAAAAUGUUGGGCCAAAGUUGUGCAAACGUGUACCUUCAAUUAUUAUGGACCUUUUGAAUAUCCUAACUAUGUCACGCGAACGUAUACAUAACUACAAUAAUUUAUUUAUUAAUACGCGCCUAAAAUAUACUAGCUACUAUUAAGAAUUAUUCUUCUUAAACUAAUUUGAAAUUAUUGUGAAUGCCAUAAGUCAUGCAAUUAUUGUGAAGGAAGGGAUAUAUAUAAAUCACUAAAAAAUUUACAUGACCAAACACAUUACAAGUUUCUUAGAAAAUAUUCCUAAAAAUUGUUCAAGUGUUCAUAUGGAGAGAUCGAGACUUACUUAUUCUCUAGCGAGCUUUGUCAAAUUAAAUGAGAAUAAAGAUAACAUAAGAAAGUCAUAUGUGUAUAUCAUUAUUCUUAAGCUUAUCUCAAUCAUAUACAAACAAGAUUCAUAUGGAUUCAUCAAUAAACCGAAAUGAAUUCACUGCUCAAUAUAAAAACCAACCAACAAAUGAACUAGAUUAUCAAAUUUAAAUUGGGUUCAAGAAUUAGUUACUUCAAUCACAUAAGUACAUACCCAUUUAUCCAAUGAAAAUCUUGAUAUCUAUGAAUCAAACAGUAAUGGAACAAAAACAAACUUUCACACUUAAUUAUUCUGAACAUGAAAUUAAUUGUAACAAGGGAGUGCUAACAUCAUUUAAGUUCAAGCAUUUUACAAACGAGAGUGAACAAAAAGACCAAGAAUAAAAAUGAUUAAAAGUAAUAAUAAUAAAAUUAAUAUCCAAAAGAUAAAGAAAGAAUCUAACCUUUGUAUUUAAUAAGAAUAUGAAAAUCCAAUCCCUAACAAAGCAGCGGUGAGAAUGAAGUAAAAAUUCCAAAAAUUGAUGCCGAAAAACUUGAGAAAAAUCGAUCUGGACCGCGACCGGAAAACCUCCAACCACGAACUCGAAACUCAAACUCACUGGAAUUUUAGCCCGUAUGGCAGAAUCUUUUUACUAAUUGGAUUGAAUUUUGGGACAAAAGAAGAUUGUUUCAAAAUGAUGAAAAUGGAGGAUAGAGGUGCAGGAAAAUCCCAAGAUUUGAGUCCUUAGCCUCUUUUGUGUGCGUGUCUCCGUAUCCCUUCCUCUAUUCUGUUUUCCCCAAUUCUCUUAAUCUCCUUUGUUUCUUUCUUUCUUUUUUAAUCUUUAUAUCCCUUUUUCCCUCACUAUUACGUCCUUUUCUCUGUCUGUCUUCUUCAUUUUCUUGUGUUCUUCCUAUUUUAUAAAGAAGAAUGGGGGCGGUUAUAUGGAGAUGUGAUUGUAAAUGUGUGAUCAUGAAUAAUAAUCGUGAGUAAAG